rnacentral:rRNA from 1 species
CUGCUGCCUUCCGUAGGAGUCUGGUCCGUGUCUCAGUACCAGUGUGGGGGACCUUCCUCUCAGAACCCCUACGCAUCGUCGCCUUGGUGGGCCGUUACCCCGCCAACAAGCUAAUGCGACGCAUGACCAUCCGUAGCCGGAAUCGCUUCCCUUAAACCCACAGAGAUGCCUCCAUGGGUUGUUACGCGGUAUUAGACGGAAUUUCUUCCGCUUAUCCCCCUGCUACGGGCAGGUUUCAUACGUGUUACUCACCCGUGCGCCGGUCGCCGGCGGG